GUGCUUGCUUUAGGAGCACAUGUACUAAAAUUGGAAGGAUACAGAGAAGAUCAGCAUGCCCCCUGCACAAGCAUGAACCUUUCCAUAUUUUAAAAAAUAAAUAAAUAA
ensembl:snRNA U6 U6 spliceosomal RNA